rnacentral:rRNA from 1 species
UACGGAGGGUGCGAGCGUUGUCCGGAAUCACUGGGCGUAAAGGGUGCGUAGGCGGUCGGGUAAGUCUGAUGUGAAAUCUCACAGCUUAACUGUGAAACUGCAUUGGAUACUAUCCGGCUAGAGGAAUGGAGGGGAGACUGGAAUACUUGGUGUAGCAGUGAAAUGCGUAGAUAUCAAGUGGAACACCAGUGGCGAAGGCGAGUCUCUGGACAUUUCCUGACGCUGAGGCACGAAAGCCAGGGGAGCAAACGGG